rnacentral:rRNA from 1 species
UACGGAGGGGGCUAGCGUUUGUUUCGGAAUUACUGGGGCGUAAAGCGCGCGUAGGCGGGCUUUGUAAAGUUUAGAAGGUGAAAGCCCCGGAGCUCAACUCCGGAAAUUGCCUUUAAGACUGCAUCGCUAGAAAUCAUGGGAGAGGUGAGUGGAAUUCCGAGUGUAGAGGUGAAAUUCGUAGAUAUUCGGAAAGAACACCAGUGGCGAAGGGCGACUCGACUGGACAUGGUAUUGACGCUGAGGUGCGAAAGCGUGGGGAAGCAAAGCAGGAUUAAGAAACCCGUGGUAACGUCC